ACGGGCCGCGCACCUGCCCCGGGCCCCGCUGCCGCCCCGGCUCGGGGCCGGCUCCAAGCUCCGGGACCUGCCCCGGGCUCACGGCCGAGCCCCUGCGCUGACACUGCGCCCGAGCGGCUGCGGCAGCGGAAACCUCCGCGCCGUUCUUCCAUGAGCGUUGUCUUUUGAAACAGUGACGUUUUCCAAGGUAGCCUUGACUGGCUCUGAAUCCAGUUUUGGGGGUGCUUUUCCUGGCGCUGUGUCACGACAAAUAAGGACAAAUUGCAACAUAACCUGGCAAAUCCAGGAAACAUCACGAGUAUGUGGUUGUCUUUAGGAGAGUGUCUCUGGAUUGUAACUGAAGGCUCCAUGGCUGUUUCAGAAACACAGGUUAUGCAUAUUUACCUGCAGAGACAUUUAACCUUUAUUUUGAAGGACUCCUGUUGCAGUUCUGGAAAACUCUCCUGAGCAAAACAAGGAAAACAUCUCUGAAACAUCCAGGGAGUAUUAGUUUGGUCAAUCUUUUGCAAUUCUAACCAAAACAUGUCAGUGUGUUGAAAGGGAAUCUAAAGGUGUGUUGAAGAAGGACAAAGGGGGAAGAUAGUUGAGUGGUUUAGCAAAAGGUGAGGUGGUAGGAGAUCUUUAUUCUGGCUGUUUGCUUAGUUCCUCCAGCACACCCUUCUGCAAACUUUUUAAUAACUUCCUUCUCCCCUGGACAUGAAGUGUAAAUGUAUUUAAAUCACGAGAGCAGUUUGGGGGUGCUGGGAGGUGCAGACACACUGAACCCAUCUGGUUUUGGACAGCCAAUUCCUGGGGCGGGGAGAGCACAGCCAGCGAGCUCUGCUCCAGCAGGGUGUUCUGGGGCAAGAGGAGGGCUGCUCCCAGCGUGUGCUGCGUGUCCCAGCUCCCGGGGCAGCUCCUGAGUGUCCUAGCUCCCAGUGUGUGCUGAGUGUCCCAGCUCCCGGGGCAGCUCCUGAGUGUCCCAGCUCCCGGGGCACAGCCCUGCCAGGAGGGUCCACACCCAGCCCAGGCUGGGCUGGGAUACCUGGCGUGCUCUUGGAUGGGUGGGUGGGCUGGACUGGCUUGGCAAGGCCUGCUGAGGCUGCUGCCAACAUUUAACAAAGGAAUCCUUUACACACAUUCUUGCCUGAUACAGCACCUUUACAGCUCUGCAGCAAGGGAAGGAAAAAAAGUCUACAUUUAAUAUGUAAAUAGAAGUAAUGAUCCAGGAAAAAGGUCACUGCAUUCAUCCCCGUGGAUCAGAUUGCUCUCAGAUAACUUUGGCUUUGUGAGUUUCCAGCACAGCCUGCUGUUCCAUUGUGUGCCUGCUCACAGGGACCAGGAAAAUGGGGAACUGGGUCACUGAGCAGCACUCAAGACACCACCGUAGUAUCGAGCUAAUCAGAUCAGGGAAUUAAUCACUGAGUUCUUCACAUCCAGCUAAAAUGCAACUGAAGAGUGAAAACAAGGAAGAAGCAGCACUGAGGGAAAAACCAAGUAUGCUGUUCACAGACACUGUAAUUAAAUUAUCUGUUUGUUACAGAACAGUUAGGUCAGCUUUGACAGAAUUAAAAACUCCCCAUCAGAAAGAAUCUCCAAGACACUGGUCAUAAAUUAAAACCAGCUGGUGAGUUAGGUGUAAAAGGCAGUUGAAAGAGAAUCUUAAAUAUUCUCAGUGAACAAAAUGAACAAAGAGACCCUCAUCUCUCAACCUUCAUCUCAGAUAUUCCUACAGUCUCUCAUAAACUUGUGAACCAAUUGUGGGUUCUUUUCAUUAAGCACAUUUAAAUGCUAUUUCCAAGAUUAAAACUGUGAUUCUAUUCCAGCAGAAUAGGAAUAUCAAUUCAAACCAGAUUUUAAAGUGCUUUUAUGUAGUUUAAACACACUUAAAAGUAUUUUAACUUUGCUCAAACAUAAAAUUUUGUAGAUCUGAAUGGUGCUUAUUAGGAAUGGUGCUUUAAUGCAGUUGAGAGUGUAAAAGGCAUUAGAAUCCUAACAGGAAAGUUACAUCUGUGCAAGUACCUGAAAAGAGCCGAGAGGUUCUUUAAGAGAAGGCUCCGGUAUUUCCACGUGACCUGCCAAAGGGAAGGAGCCCUGGUAUGCUGCCAAAUUCCAGGAGAGCUGAGCAGUGAUUAGAGUUUAACUUCGGCAUCAGACAGGAGGCUUUUUUCUCCUUGAAAUUCUCAAUGUAAAAAGUGCUGAAGCUUUUUCUUAGCUUUUCAGUUGGGGAAAAGAAAAAAAGCCAAGCCCCACCCUCAAAAGCUAAUAAAGAACUUGCUUCAGGAAAACAUCUGGUAGCUUUAAGUGCCUCGGUGCAUGGAAUUGUGCAUUUUGCCAGUGUGGGAGCGUGGUGUGCACAGUGGUUCUGAAGCCAUGAGCAGCAUGGGAGGUGGGCAAAUCAUUUUGCCAAAUCAGAAGUAGGAAUUGAUACAAGAAGAAGAAACUGCAAGUUCUGGCACAGACUUUAAGCAGAAGGAAAACUGUCUGGGAUGGUGGCGAGUUGUGAGGUCAGUUCUCUAUAGUGCUGCUGAACAGUGUGACAAUCCCAUGUCACCACAUCCUUCCACAGCUGGGCAUGCAGCCUCCCAGCAGGACACCACCGGGAAAGGCACUCGGGAACAGUGAGGACACCUGGAUUCCACAGCUGGGAGUCAAAACCAGUCCUACCAGCUGAGGAAAGGGGUCAAAGCACAGCCCUGCCAGCUGAGGAGAGUUCAGGGAGAAGCAGAGAGAACAGAAAGAAGCUGAGAUGAAGGGCAGCCUCUAAGAGCUUCUUGCAAGCUCCACUGGCUGAGAGCACCGUGCCCAUUUGGCCAGGGUCUCUUGGGCAUGCACCACAGCACAGCAGGGGACUCCUGGGCUUUUCAUCUGGUUCAAACAGUGCACCUUCAGUAGCCAGAAGUGGUAGUGACUCUUACUCCUCUCCUCAGCUACAACAUUGCCCUGUGCACUUUCACCACCUCCAGCCCUGAGGCCUUGGAAAACAAAGAGAGCAGCCCUGGAGCCCCCCAGGCUUCAGCCACUGGGGACAGUGCCCAGCCCCAGGAGUGCCACCAGCUCUCACAGCUGGGAGCAGAGGCAGCAGCUGCUGAAGUCCCCACAGGACCCUGCCAAGGAUUAAGGGGACAGGUAAAGUGUCACUGCUGAAACUUCACCAUCACUGUCAGGAAACAGUGUUUCCCUUUUAAAAACAAAUGAAAAAUUAAAAAAAAGCCCACCCCCCCAGAAACAAAACCAAGAAAGGCAAUGCUGCCAAAUGGCUCAGUCAGACCCUUACCUUGCAGACAGGAACACAACUUCGUGUGCUUUUACUUUUAACAAUGAGCCAUUCACAGAACCUUUUUUUUUUUUUUUUUAAACUCCAAGAUUAGGGACUGACAUCUCAUUCUGUAUCAUCUACUGGGCCAGUUUGGUAGUGAAUGAAGAAGUCAUGUGCUCCUUUCACCUCCAAAAACUUCUAAGGGUAUCCACAAUCUUCAGGUGCCAGAGAGGGAUUACCAUGCAGCCACAGGGCAGCAGAAAUUCUACACAGCAGAAGGUGAAAUGAAUUUCUAUAAAAAAGAGAAGCAAAAUGCCAGAUUCUUAAGAAAAGUGCCAGCAGACCUUUAAUGGUGCUGGGAACCAGCCAAGACUGUGAGUUAUAUUUCUUUUGAAAGAAUCCUAUAUAAUGAAGCACAGGGAAAAAAUAUGCUGAGAGACUGACAGCAGUGUUUAUUUUAUUCAUGGCACUACAUUUAUCCAGGGAACUGAGGGGAAAAAAAGCCCUGUACUGAGGUGGUGGUCUUCCAAUAACACCAUAAAACCAUACAGACCUAGAGCAGAAGGCCAGAAAACUCAUGUUCCCUCUGCAUGGACAUGGGGAUGCUGCCCCUGCACCAUCAGUAGUUUUAUAGCAAGUGAUGGAGCACGCAGGGUACAGCAGACUUUGGAGGGAAAGAGCCAGGGUUUAUUUUUUGAGGAGAUGGGAAGCUGAAGGGAAGGAUGAAAAAAUUGUAUAAACCAUGUUUUAUAAGAAAAGUUUUAAAGGUCCCUUAGCAGGCUUAAAAAAAAGAUGAAGUACACUCACUACAUUCUUUCUUUCCAUGGACGGAAUGGGCCAGUGAAAACAACUGACCUCAACUGUUUGAAUCCUGUGUGUGUUGUUAUGCAACAACCCAGUCCCCUGCACUUCUCCUGGGGAACUGCACAUGGUAGAGAAGUUCAUUCUUUAAUUACCCUCCUGAAUUUGUUUUACUUACAGCUAACCUGCAGCUGAUUGCUAACAUCAGCAACCGUAACAGAGGUUCAAAGAAUAUUCCCUUUUGCAACAGCACCUAAUUUCUGCAUAUGAUGGAACUCUGUAUUCAGCUCAUCUGGCUCAUUCUUCACAGAGUAUUUCUUUGGUUACAUGGGUUUUCUACACGGAAGGGAAGUUUUGGCUUUUUUGCUUUUUUUCAACAGGAAAAAUAAUUUCAAGUCUUCCAUCACUGGCUAUAAACCCAAGGCAGGCAUAUGGCCCAGCUUUCUACAGCCAUACACAGAGGAACUAAUAAAUCCUGAUUCCUUGCAGGCUUGUCUUCUCUUCCCACCUUCCCCAUCUCACCCCUCCCACUGAGGCCACUGCCCCAGCCCCCUCUCCAGGGUCCCCUUGCACAGGGAGCAGCUCAGCUCCUAUUUCUGUCCUCCAACUACUGCUCGAGAGAAGGAAGCCAGCACUGCACCAGGUUCCGUGUGUGCAGACCACAGAUCUUUCUUUGGCUGGGCUUGCCUAGGAACCAGCCAAACUUCCUUGGCAGUCCCUGCCUAAAGCAGAGGAAAUCUUUGGAUUUAUCAUCAUCACCAAGCCCUUAAUUUUCAUGCAACUGGGAUUAAGUCAGCUGUCUGUGAGAUCUUUCUUGUCACUGAAACUGGCCAAAAGAUUUAAGUUAUUUUUGGGGAGGGGGUAGAACAGGACAGAGUACAAAUGCAAAAGCAGUGGAAACUAUGCUAAAAUAUUUAAAAUAUGACAGCAUUCUCUUAAUAGUCAUGUUGUACUUCUGUUCAGCUGAAAGGUGACUUGGGAGAGAUAUUGACAGGAUUUUGCUGUUUUAAGUAUUUCAGAUCCUGCCAGUUUCUCUGGCAGUUUCUCAGCAUUGAGAGAUACUGGUUAAAACAUCCUGAUUCAGCCAGUUAAGCACAGCUAAUUAUAGUCACCUAUUGACAAUCCAGUGUUGUCCUGGGGCAUGUGUGCUCUUCCCAGGAAAACCUGGGAGUAACAAUUCAGGUUCACAGCAUAAACAAAUACCAGUAUUAAUUCAGUAGCCCCCAUGUCUUGCACAAAUCAAAGGCUGAUAUUCCACUGCCUGUUUCCAAACCAGCCCAUUACUACAGGAGCUCCCAACUCUUACCAAAGCUGGAGCCCAGCUGUGGAGGUCAGGCUCCAUCGCUGACCUCCACAACCGAGCGAGAAAGAGCCACUUGUGGGUUUGGUUGGAAGUGCCUAGAGCUCUCCCUCCAGGACUUCUGCCUUUGUUUUGCAUUCAAGAGAUUUUCUGUGCAGUCAGUGACUGGUCUUUAAUUAAAUGGAAUUCUCUCCUAUGUCUCCCUCUCUGCUUGUAGGCACAGUAACUGAACUCUUUCAGAACAGCAGAAAAUUUGGAAAAUCUUCACUUUCUAAUAAUCUCCAGAGCAUCAUCAGUAUACCAAGUCCUUAGUGGGUAAUCAUUUUCCUCUGGAAAAGAGAGGUUUUAAUUUGGUGCCCCCAGGGCACAGCACUGUCCUGCAGUCCCUCUCAUUGAGGCCAUGGAUAACACACCACUGUGUGCUGUCUGUGUGUGAUCUGAUCUCAGCAGCCCUCUCCAUCCAUCCAUCCAUCCAUCCAUCCAUCCAUCCAUCCAUCCAUCCAUCCAUCCAUCCAUCCAUCCAUCCAUCAUUUCUCUGUGGUCUCACUCCCUCAGUUGUCAAUUAAGUCCAUUCCACUCCCUCUCUCAAAGGCAAGUCCUUGGCUUUUGGAAUGCUGUCAGACUGGUCAGGUGAGUGCCAGAGAUCUACAAUAGUAUUUUCCUUCCCUCAGCUUCAGUAUUUCACUGCACAUGCUUGCAGUAGUUGCAGCUCCAUUUCUGGCAUAUUUUGAGGGUUUUGGGCAAGCCCAAGUUAAAGAUGACAUUUUAAUGUCAUAAAGCUACACUACAUAUUACAUACAAAACAUUUGUACUGAAAACUCAAAGGCAACUUGUCCAAGCUAAUUCAGCUUUCUUGUGGACAAAUACAGCUGUUGGCUUUCAGUGCAGGACAGUGCUGUUUCAGCUUUUGUUCUGAAAGAAACAAACCAGUCAAACCAGUGUCAAUUUAUUCAACUCGAAAUUAGAAAGGAGAACAGCUUAACUCAUAUUAACAAAAUUCAUAGAAUUUAAUGAAAUAAUUUUUUUGGGGGAAAAAAAUAUCAGCAGCUCACUCUCUUCCUUGAAGAUACUUGGAUGACAAAAAUAAUAUGCCAAACAUAUCUUUGGAAUUACUGAGGGAAGCUGACAAGCAGUGCCUUUGCCUUUGGCCAGUGCCUUUGUAGGCAUAUCCAGCAUUACCUUCAGGCACCAAUCCCACGCCUGCCACCUCCUGGGCUUGGAAUAUUUGAGCUCCAGAAACAUUCAGCAAAAUGUUAUUGUAAUUAAGCGUCAGGGAAAGGGGAGUGAGGGAUCUUUUCCUUCAGAUAUAAUGUUCUACUCAUAGUGUUGGUUCUGCUGCACAAAGUCUGCUACCAAAGGCAACUGAGAAAAUUAAUUGCUUCCCUUGGUUCUGACAUCAUCUCACAGACCUCCUGCAUGUAAUUACUAAUGUGCUUCCCAUAAAGCCCUCCAGGAACUCGCAGCCU